CACACACACUCACACACACACACAUAUACACAUACACACAGAGUUAGAAAGAUAGAUAGAUAAAUAGAUAGAUAGGUAGAUAGAUAGAUAGACAGAUAGAUAGAUAGAUAGAUAGAGAGUUAGGUAGAACGAGAGAGAUGUGAUAGAGAGAUGUGAUAGAUGCAUAGAUAAGAUAGAAAGAUAGAUAGAUAGAUAGAUGGGUAAAAUGUACGUAGUGGCGUUUAGGUGUAUAAACACACACACCCAAACACACACACUUAUAUGUAUAUGAAAGGGAUGUGAAUAUGUAUGUGUAUAUGUGGGUGGGUGCGUGGGUGAGUGUGUGUGUUUGUAAGUUUUUGUGUGUGUUAAAUAUAUUCGUGAAAUUAAUGCCGUCAAAGGCAGUGGGCCAAAAUAUAAAGGGCCUGUCCACCUGAUUUUAGGAACACACACUGAAGGGAGAUUUUGCGAGAAAUACCUCCCAUUGCAAAUAUCUUCCUCAUUCGUUGUCUUUCGCUACAAAUGCAUAGUUAACAUCGGACGAAUAUCUUCUCGGUUCAUACCAUAAAUUGAUAAAUGAAUUUAUAAACAAAAACAAAAAAGGAAAACAAAAUCACAGGAAAAAGAGGCAUACAGAAUAGAAGAGAGAAAGAAAGAAAGAAAGAAAGAAAGAAAGAAAGAAAGAAGUAUUAACAGGACAACUUCGACAUAAAAAGUAACGUUCUUAAACUACAUCAUAACUUGAAAAGAAUAUAUAUACACACAUGCACACACACACACUAUCUCACAUACACACACACUCAGACAUAUACAUGUAUAUAUAUGUAUACAUAGAUAAUUGUAUAUAUAAAAUAUGAUGCUAUAUAUAAAUAUAUAUAUUAUUGAUUAAUGGUUAUAUACUUUACACAGAAAAUUCUUACAAAACAUAAAAAAAAAAUUAAAAACAGUAAAAAUUUUAAGAAUCAGCAGUAUUAAUAUUCAAUCUUGAAAGUAUAUAUAACUACAUAUAUAUAUAUUCAUGUUCAUAUAGAAACAUACAUAAAUAUAUACAUAUAUGUAUACAUAUAUUUACAUAUGAUAUAUACUUGUAUAUAUAUGGAUGCUCGUAUGUACAGAUAUAUACAAAAUAACACGCAUAUACAUGUAUGUUCAAUUGCCGAAUUAUUUUCGCAUAUUUUUAACACAGAAGUGUUAUAAACUUGUGCAUAACCCUACUGUGUGUAUAGUAAUAUUUAUUUCAACCGUUUUUUUCAUCAAGUCAUCUCUCCGCAUCUUUUGUACGGCGUCGACAUCAACUUGGGCGUGUACAGGACUCGAUUUAUAGGUAUACAUUCACAUACAUAUACGCACGCACACAUAUACACGUAGACAUACGUUCGCACACGAUUACAUACAUACAUACAUACAUACAUACAUACAUACAUACAUACAUACAUACAUACAUAUAUAUAUAUAUAUGUUUGUAGAUAUGUGUGUAUGUAUGUUUAAAUAUCUAUAGCUAUAUACGUACAUUUACUUACAUCUAUAUUUCUAUACAAAGGUGUAUAGAAACAAGCAGGUCAAAGACUGCCAGUAACUAAAAGACCUUUGCCCAACGUUUAACUCCCCAAACACCGGAGAACUAUCAAAGCUAAAGGCUCAGGCCAAGAGAGUCAGAAACUUUUUCACUGUAAAGUUACCGUUUCUCGCCGUUAAUCUGAGGAUGAAUUUGAUUCCUGCUUCGCUGAUCGUGUUGUGCUGUGUUGUUCUUCAUUGCCAAAGUAUGCGGUUUCACGGGACGCAAACCAUGCACCAGGUUCCACUGGAAAUAGAUGGAAAUAGACAAAGAAGCCUCGCGGACGAUUACGAUACUUCUCGUAUGCGUCAGUUGCUCACGAACUUCAAGCUCCAAAGAAUGUUGAGAAAACGUGCUGACGUGGCAUACAACAGUGAUUAUUUGCUUCUCUUAGAUAAAAUGAAAAACCUAGUUGAUAAACAGGAGUCUGAUGCAUGGAACAAUAAACUUAAAGACCUUGGUAAAUAGUUGUGAGAUCUUCAUAAAACGAAUACCGGUUCUCUAACAAUAUACUGUAAACUUAAAUAUUGCCAAUCUUGUUGAAUGGGAAAAUAAAGGAAAUAUGCAUAAACAUG